GACGAACGCUGGCGGCGUGCUUAACACAUGCAAGUCGAACGAAGUGGCGAACGGGUGAGUAACGCGUAAUCAACCUGCCCUUCAGAGGGGGACAACAGUUGGAAACGACUGCUAAUACCGCAUACUGAAGGAGGGGAUUGCGUCGGAUUAGCUAGUUGGAGGGGUAACGGCCCACCAAGGCGAUGAGCAGUAGCCGGGUUGCGGGGAUGAACGACCCCAUUGGGACUGAGACCCGGCCCCACCUCCUACGGGAGGCAGCAAGGGGGAAUCUUCCGAAAUGGACGAAAGUCUGACGGAGCAACGCCGCGUGAGUGAUGACGGCCUUCGGGUUGGAAAGCUCUGUUCAGCGGGACGCGGUACCGGAAGAGAAAGCCACGGCUAACUACGUGCCAGCCGCCGCGGUAAUAC
rnacentral:rRNA from 1 species